AACGCACAUUGCGCCCGCCAGCACUCUGGCGGGCAUGCCUGUCCGAGCGUCAUUUCAACCCUCAGGCCCCGCCUGGCGUUGGAGCCCUGCGCAGCGCAGGCUCCCAAAGACAGCGGCGGGCGCGCCCCGGAACCGAGCGCAGUAAUGCUUUCUCGUUCUGGUCCGGCGCGCGCUCCGGCCGUAAAACCCCCAACUUUCUAAGUGGUUGACCUCGGAUCAGGUAGGAAUACCCGCUGAACUUAA
rnacentral:misc_RNA from 1 species